ensembl:lncRNA novel transcript
GGGUGGGGUCUGGGGCUCCGUGCACCCCGCGCCGGGGAUGCUUUCUCCCUAGCUUGUUGCGCCGUCCGGUUCUGCCCCAGCCUUAGAUCUCAGCUCUGAGCUGCCCUCACAUCCCUGCAGAUCUUUUCUGGCCACACUGGUGGCCCGCGGGGUAUGGCUGCUUCCGUCUCGCGGCGUUGGCCUCCCUGACUGGCCGCCGGUGUAGGGCGCCGUGGGCGGGGUCCCUGGGGCGAGGCUGCCUGGCCUCCGCGGUUGGUUCGGCGGCCGCGGGGCUGCAGCUCCCGGCUCGCACUCCAUCAUCGACGGAUGACAGCGGGAACGGUGGGAGUUCAUUACAGGGACCAUGAAUUGUUGGAGGUAAUUUAGAUUACAAUUUAAAGUUUAAUUUAAAAAUCUAUCAACAAAUGUGAAAGUACUGGAGGAACAUUUUAAAAUGCACUUUAAUCUCACCAGCACAAAUAGCUUCUCGGGGCUCUAAACAUCAUCACCUGGAAAAACAGUAAAACUUUACUGCAUCUUUAAUUAAAUUACAAACACAAAGGAUAA